CCAAGAUGUCACUAGCUGUUGGGGCCGUUAGGCCUUAGUAGCGCAGCUAACGCGUGAAGUUGACCGCCUGGGGAGUACGGUCGCAAGAUUAAAACUCAAAGGAAUUGACGGGGACCCGCACAAGCGGUGGAUGAUGUGGAUUAAUUCGAUGCAACGCGAAAAACCUUACCUACCCUUGACAUGUCUGGAAAGCCGAAGAGAUUUGGCCGUGCUCGCAAGAGAACCGGAACACAGGUGCUGCAUGGCUGUCGUCAGCUCGUGUCGUGAGAUGUUGGGUUAAGUCCCGCAACGAGCGCAACCCUUGUCAUUAGUUGCUACGCAAGAGCACUCUAAUGAGACUGCCGGUGACAAACCGGAGGAAGGUGGGGAUGACGUCAAGUCCUCAUGGCCCUUAUGGGUAGGGCUUCACACGUCAUACAAUGGUCGGGACAGAGGGUCGCCAACCCGCGAGGGGGAGCCAAUCUCAGAAACCCGAUCGUAGUCCGGAUCGCAGUCUGCAACUCGACUGCGUGAAGUCGGAAUCGCUAGUAAUCGCGGAUCAGAAUGUCGCGGUGAAUACGUUCCCGGGUCUUGUACACACCGCCCGUCACACCAUGGGAGUGGGUUUCACCAGAAGUAGGUAGCCUAACCGCAAGGAGGGCGCUUACCACGGUGGGAUUCAUGACUGGGGUGAAGUCGUAAAAGGGUAACCGAACAGGUUGGCUCCCAAGGUUUUCGGGGUUGAACGC
rnacentral:rRNA from 1 species